GGCGGCGGCGGUCUAGUUGGUAGGCUAGAUUGCAGGCGCACAUCCUGUUGACGUGGGUUCUAAUCCCGCCGCUGCCC
rnacentral:tRNA from 1 species